UGACCAACAUGUGAGGGAAGACGGGUGUUGCCUAAUUGAUGAAAUGGAUGAUCUUGUAGAGGAAGCCCUUCCCUAUAUCUUAGCAGAUGACCCCCUAGAGGCAUGCUUGGCCCAUUUUGACAUUGACAACUUUGACAUAGACAAGGCCAUAGAAGAAGUCAACAUCUUACUCGACAAUCAAUCUCCCAUGAGUUCCCUUCCUUGGAAGAUCCGACCUGAACCUC
rnacentral:lncRNA from 1 species